rnacentral:lncRNA from 1 species
UGCAAUCUUGCAACAAUAAGCUCUGAGGUGAGUCCUAGGGCAGCUAAUCCCUUUGUACUUGUCGAAAUCCGGGACUUUGAAUUUUUAUGGAAUCACCAGACCUGACACCAAGCACAUAUUGACGACAUCUAAACCGGGAGUAGUGUGAACCUCAAAGGACUUGAAUUUCUCUUCCAAAGCAUGGAGUCUCCUAACAGCUGGGUCUAGGAGACCUCCAAUAAUAGGUUUGGCGGAUUGUAGCAUGAAGAAAG